GAAAACCUAACCAAGCAUAUCUCUCACACUCAAGCUAGAGAAAUUCCAUGUUUAGAAUACCUUGGCAAUGAUCAAUUAGCAUCUCAAUGUUUCAAUGAAAGAUCUAUGAUCUUAAGGGACAAAGAUGAGAAUAGUAGCCAAGAAAAAGAAGCUAGUGAGAGUGAAGAAAAUGUAAAAAUAGAAAAGCAAGAGAAGACCCUUGAAGAACAAAAGGCGUGGGAGAAGAGUGUUCCUUCCCACAAGGUCAUUCAACAAGACCAAAGAUUUAAAAAUACCUUUGAAAAUGUGUGUCUUGUUGAACAACCUCAAAGCCUUACCUUUUGUAAAGGAACACUUGCAAGCCUAAGUGAAAA
rnacentral:lncRNA from 1 species